rnacentral:sRNA from 1 species
UAAAGAGUGGUAUAAGCAACUCUGGGAAUAUACCAAACUCUGGGAUGUACACUUUAGAAGACUGGGUUUUAUGGCAUAUCAAUUAUAUCUUGAUGGACUGUUACCUUGUUUUCAAGUAGCAUAUGUAAGGCCUAAGCACAGUUGCCUGGGGUGUAUAGACUUGUGCCAUAUGGAACCAGUUUGGUUCAGGGCAGCCAGCUGUUUGCAACCAGUUACCUUCAGUUCACCUUAAGAUGAUUUGUUAAAGAUAGUUUUGAUUUCCAUUUUCUGCUAAGAGGGCUAGAUAAAUCUAAAGCUAUAAAGGGAUGUUUGCUUUUUAAGAUCAGAAUGGCCUGCCUUGCUGCUAAAGAGCUGGAUGGUGUGGAAGAAAAACACUUCUCUCAAGCUCCCUGUUCCCUGAGCACCUCGCCGCUGCAGACCAGGCUCCUGGAGGCAAUAAUCCGCCUCUGGCCCCUGGGACUGGUCCUGGCCAAUACGGCUAUGGGUGUAGGCAGCUUUCAGAGGAAAUUAGUGGUCUGGGCUUGCCUCCAGCUCCCCAGGGGCAGCCCCAGUAGCUACACUGUCCAGACAGCACAAGACCAGGCUGGUGUCACGUCCAUCCGAGCGCUGCCUCAGGGAUCGAUAAAGUUUCACUGCAGAAAGUCUCCACUGCGGUAUGCUGACAUCUGCCCUGAACCUUCGCCCUACAGCAUUACAGGCUUUAAUCAGAUCCUGCUGGAAAGACACAGGCUGAUCCACGUGACCUCUUCUGCCUUCACUGGGCUGGGGUGAUCCUUGGUGCCUUUGUUUCCACAAGGCCUUUUCCUGCCCCCUGCCUUGCCAAAGACAUUUAAUCAG